rnacentral:lncRNA from 1 species
ACUUCUAGUACUCUGGGAGAUGCUGGGUCCUAUAGCCUAAGUGUUGGGGAAGCGUGCACAAACUGGGGAGCCCGUUUUGUCUCUGAGCCUCACUGGAAACUCUCAUCCCUCUGAGUCACCCUGUAAGACUUGGACUUGGCUCUAGAAACAUGAAAAUAAAUGUCAACUCUCGUCAAAAAUGAGCAGUUGCCACAUUACAGCCCCACUUAGAGGUGGCCCCCAGAAAUAGUGGUGGAGGAAAUCCUCCCAGUGGGCAGAGUUAAUGUGUGGAAGUGCCAGCUCCUUGUCAAUAGUGAAUGGUUCAGCUUAUUGAUCAGGGAUCUGGAAGGAAAAAGACUACAGUCCAUAUACCACCUCCAGUGUCCUAACCCUGCGAGAUGUCUCUGAUCUGGCCUUCUAGCUGACAUUUCACCAGGCCAUUCCACCAUUUUUUAUCAGGCUGGUCAUCCCCGAGUGACAAGGGACAUGAGAGACUGGGCAUCUUUGGUUUAAACCCAAUGUGCCAUACCUGCUUGGUAGUAAAAUGUGCUCUUUGGUUUGGUUGUAACGUAGUAUAGGAUUCUCUGGUGAUAACUCAGGCAUUUUGUCAGCCCUUAGAUGGUGGUAGAUGGUGGUAGAGAUGCCAAAUAAAAUCAGAAACAAAGAAGUCUGGGGAAGAAGUACAUGAAUGAGUAGGGAGUAGGCACAAAAUAUCUAGUUGACAUCAGCUAGCCUCUGUCCUUGGCCUCAGACAUGCUUGUAGAAUGGGCCAUGAGUAAAUUAGCCACUGUGGCAGGAAUGGAGGCCCCUAAAUGUGAAGUCCUUUUCUUCCAAGCUGCCCAAGUUUUGAUGCUGAAGGCCUAACAUACAAGCAGCAGGGGCUCUUCUGAGCCCUUGAUAUGGCCCAAUUCAUGGGGAGAUGAGCUAGCCUCCUGGUGGCAAGUAGAUGAUGUCAGACUCCGUCCAAUUUGGAAAGUCCUUCUUCCUCACUAGAAUCACCACCUACUCAAGUUAGAAGUUUGUUCUGUCUUCCGACAGUGCCUCCACCAGCACCAUCAUCUGAGAGGUGACAGAUGUCUUGAUCUAUAGGACAUAUGAUAUCCCACACUACUUUGUGCUAGGCCAGAGAGAAUAUUUUACUACAAAGCAAAUACAAAACAUUAGGCUAAAAACAGUUUUCCAUGUCCUUCAUCACCUAGGGGUGACCGGCCUGAUAAAAAUGGUGAAAAGUCCUGGGGAAGUCUCAACUAAAAGGCUAGCUCAGGGACACCUCAACACUAGGUGCAGGACACACACAGCACCAGAGCUGAUCGACAGUGCUGCCAUGCGUGGGUCCAGACACCAAGGGGUGGAAGCAGCCUGGGCCUUCUCACCCUCAGUCCAAGUAGAGAUGCAGAAUUUUAGCUUCCUGUUCCUGCCAUGUGGAUUUUGCUGGGUUAUAAAGAAUCUGACUAGUAUCCAUGAGAAUUCAGGUUUGAUGCCUGGGCUCACUCAGUGGGUUAAGGAUCUGCCAUUACUGUGAGUUGAGGUGUAGGUCGCAUGUGUGGCUCAGAUCUGACGUGGCUAUGGCUGUGGUAUAGGCCGGUAGCUGUAGCUCCAAUUUGACUCCUAGUCUGGGAACUUCCACAUGCCGUGGGGGUGGCCUUAAGAAAAAGACAAUAAAUAAAUAAAUAAUAGUAGUGGAGGAGUGAGAUGCUAAGUGUAUAUUUUGACUGUUGGACCAGCUAUGGCAGUGGGGACUAGAGCUUGGUUUGCUAAACCUCUUUAGGUCUUUCGAGGAGAUUGCAACUGAACAUUUCCUGAAAGAACUGGACUUGUAUCUCCCCUCUCAGGAAAGAAAUGAGGACGAUUUAUUCCUUGUGAGAUCUGAAUGUUGUACGCAGGUAUGAACAUGUCUGAGGGGCAGGAGGGGUGGAGGUACCAGACCCAGUGAGUACGCUAGUGCACAGCUCCUUGGCCCAUUUACACCAAUGGCCUUGCACACUUGCCAUGCUUCCUGGCCAACACAGCCCUGACAACAACUCAUACUGUUGUCUUAGUUGUAAAGCUGUGCCUACAACCACUGCCACCAGCACAUACUGUGAGCCCCCGUGCACAGCAGUGACUGCCAGGGAGAGACCACCUUCACUACACACUCACUGGUCUAGACGCGUGGAGACCAGCCUCCCCCACAGCUGUGAUGGGAGCCAAGAAACACAACUGGGGGAUGCACAGGGGUCACAGCUUGUGAGCGAGCAAACAGGGAAAAGAAAGAAGGUGAACUGCUGCCCUUCCACCCCCAUCAGCAGGUGGUUCUAAGAUACUGUAGUUCUGCACCUCCUAUCUCGAGAGUUGCUAUCCCACAAAACAAUUGGUUGUGUUUUCUGUGAGGCUGUGGCACCCUGAGGCCAACUCCCCUCCUACUGCAUCUACCCCCACCCCCAGCCUCACUUCCCUUUGUUCAACUUCCUCGUUUCCCUGGAACUGCACUCUUCCCAGGUGAGUUAUUGCAUGUAUGUUUUUGCCUGAGCCUCUGUUUUCUACAGAACCUGGGCCGAGACACAGGGCUUCUUGGAAAAGCAAGUUUUUACCGGUCUGGAGAAAGAAAUGUAUGCAACGAACCUGGGACUAGUUGUCUCAUAUCAAAAGGACACAGGAGCCAAUUUGAAGGGGCUCCCCCUGGCCAAAUAUAGCACAAUUUAGGCAUCAAAAGAAAUAUUGACUGUAGUGGUUUUAAACACAUCAAAUAUUUUUCAAAUCAUGAGUUCUUAAGGAU